rnacentral:lncRNA from 1 species
GUCGGUGUGAUUUUUCGUUUUUCUUCUUUUCUGUCCUUUGUUUUGUUUGUUUUCUUUCCUGGUUCCUCGCCCGUUCAGAAGGCCCUAGCUGCCUUCAUUUUGUACGCUAAAUUCAUUUUCCUUAAUGAAUGAAGAAGGUAGCUUGCUACCUUUCUCUCUCUCUCUCAAAAAAAAAAAAAACUAGUUUAUUUCAUAUAAUUCUCGUAACUAUUAGUUUGUUAAGGUGAACGAUUAGCUUAAAUUUUAAAAUCAAAGUAUCGUUAACUGAUUUAAGUCAAAUGAAUUAAAAGUCUAGAUAUUAAAAUAAAAAAUUUGAAAGAUUAUGUAGUUGAUUCAAAAUAAUCCAUAGUUCAGAUAAAUUCUAUGUGUUUUUAUUUAUUUUCAACUAAGGCUAAAUAGUUCUUCAUCAAACUUAAAAAUUAUUAUUUUUUACAAAAAUUAUUUCUCAUCAAAUAC